rnacentral:rRNA from 1 species
AUUGAACGCUGGCGGCAGGCUUAACACAUGCAAGUCGAACGGUAACAUAAAGGAGCUUGCUUCUUUGAUGACGUGUGGCGGACGGGUGAGUAAUGCUUGGGAAUCUAGCUUAUGGAGGGGGAUAACUACGGGAAACUGUAGCUAAUACCGCGUAGAAUCGGGAGAUGAAAGUGUGGGACCUUCGGGCCACAUGCCAUAGGAUGAGCCCAAGUGGGAUUAGGUAGUUGGUGAGGUAAAGGCUCACCAAGCCGACGAUCUCUAGCUGGUCUGAGAGGAUGACCAGCCACACUGGGACUGAGACACGGCCCAGACUCCUACGGGAGGCAGCAGUGGGGAAUAUUGCGCAAUGGGGGCAACCCUGACGCAGCCAUGCCGCGUGAAUGAAGAAGGCCUUCGGGUUGUAAAGUUCUUUCGGUAGCGAGGAAGGCAUUUAGUUUAAUAGACUAGGUGAUUGACGUUAACUACAGAAGAAGCACCGGCUAACUCCGUG